rnacentral:piRNA from 1 species
UAAGUGACCAUAGGUGUGUGG